GAGAAAGAAUUGUGCCAUGAAAAAUGGAAAACUCCCGAGAAGCUGUUCCAGCGUCAGGAGAGCAGCAGACAAGCUGGACUGGGGAAGAUUCUUCCUGGAAGUUUCGGAGAUGUCACUCUCAUUUCCUAGCAUCUGACCCCCAAAUCCUCUCAAAGCCCAAAUCAAGAACCACAGACUCUAGUCAUCUUUCCCCCAGAGACUUCCUAACUGGGGGACCGGAAACCCCAAUUACAAAGCCUGCCCUGGCAAGACCUGCAGAGUGUGCGACACGUACCAGCACCCAAGAAAUGUCUACCGAGGAAUUAAUGAAUGAGGUAAGUUGAAUGAGUGAAGCAAAGGUUUUUCAGGAAAUCCCGCGCCUUACCGCAAACCAGUAAGCCUAAUACUGGGUUUCAGGCUACUGAAAAUGACAUUUGAGAGCAAUAGACCUUUUGGGAGCAAUUUGCCUUUUAAAAAAUUAAAGUCCUUUAAAUAACAUUACCUGGUGAGGAUGACCAGGAAAAACAUAGGGCAUAGGGCGGCCUCCCCACAGGCAUUUUUCUUCUUUUCUCUUUCCUAGCAGGGUCCCAUACUUCCCAGCCAUGCUGUUGGCAGGGAUUCACAUAGUCACAAUUCUCUGGGUAGACCUUGGGAGGUUUAAGCCAACCAGUGACCCCCAUCAUCCUAGCCCCAGAGAUUGGCUUAGGGAUAGUGACCCAAAGCAGGCCAAUGCAAGGUGACUUUGCCAGGGGCUUCUGGGAAAGAAGUUUCUUUUCUCUGAGGAAACGUGAAUGAGAACAUCCAUAACGCAGGUGGUGUCUGGCAGCCAUCUUGUGAUCAUCUGGCAAGACAGCCCAAGAAUAAAGCCGCCACCAUGGUAGACUAAGAAGACACAGGGAGACACUGGGUCUUCAUUGACUCGACCAGCUGCACAUGAGGCCUUACCUGAAGCCCACGUGACCUCUGCACUUCUCACUUACAUGACAGAAUAAAGCUCUUUUUUGUUUAGACCAAAUAAACACAUAAUGCAAUUACAUAAUCCCUUGAUUCCUUUUUAUGACUGAGCUCAGAGACUGUAUUUUGUCAUUUUAAAUCACCUUUAUCUUACAGUUUAUUUAACUGAAACAAAUAAACAAACCAAAACACGCCAGUUUUUCACUCCUCUGUCAAAGCCUUUCCAAGAUUCCUAAGCUUGUGAUGUCCUGGGUGAAUGAAGAAGUAAGAGAGUUUUCAACAAAAUAGAAGCUUAUUUCUCUCUCAUAUAAAAGAAGGCUGGAGUCUGGCUGGUGUGGGAGCUACAGCGUCAUCAAAGUUCUAUCUUUUCGUCCUGCCAUCCUUAGUAUACGGUUUUCAUCUUCAAGAUCAUGUCAUAAGCUAUGAGGAUGCAAAGGUAUAAGAAUGACAUAUGAACUUUGAGGACUCGGUGUGGGGGAAGGUGAGAGGGGGUGAGGGAUAAGAGACUACAUAUCAGGUACAGUGUACACUGCUCGGUUGACAGGUGCACUAAAAUCUCAGAAAUCACCACUAAAGAACCUAUCCAUGUAAUCAAAAACCACCUAUACCCAAAAACUAUUGAAAUAAAACUAAAAAUUAAUUAAAAAAAAAAAACAAAAAAAAAACCAGAUAACUUCAUGGUCCAAUGUGGCAGCUAGAGCUCCAAUCAUCACGUUAAUCUCCUUGUUCCAGAAAGGCAUGGGAGGAAAGGAGAAGGAGAAAAAGGAGUGUGUCAGUAGUCUAUACCUCUUUAGGAGUCCACAGAAGACUACCCAACAACUUCUGCUUAUGUCUCACUGGCCUUCAGGCUGCAAAUGUGGCUUCCAAGUGUAGUCUUUCAGCUGAGCAUACUGCCACCCAGAUUAAAAUCUGGGUUAUGUGACUAAGGAAAAAGAGGAGACUGGAUACUGGAUAGGCAACUAGCAGCCUCUGCCCCACCCUACUUAACAAACUGGUCCAGCUUCUGUGUUCAGAUCUGAUGCUUGGUGCCUGUGUCUCCAAGGAGACCCCAUGAUUCAAGCUACAAUUACUCUCUCCACAGGCCCUUAACAAGGAAAGCCGGAUUUUUUCCCUCCUGAGGAUCCUUUGACCAGCAUCUUCGGAUUUUUUUCAGUUAGAAGUAUUCACUAAGAGCCUGUUGUUUUGUUUUGUUUGUUUGUUUUUGUUUUUAUGUUUUUUUAAUGACCACAUCAGUCUUUCAUUAGCAUCUUUGCUUUGAUUUAUCUUAUUGCAUAGUUGAAUUUCUUCUCUGCCAUAUUCCAGCCAGACCCCAUUCAUACUCACCCAUCUUUGUUCACAAGUCUUUCCCUAAAACUAUGUUUUGUGCAACAUGGGUCCACUCUUCCAUAGUUAGUUUCUCACUUCCCUCUGGCAUUAACUUUCUCAAUCUGGUGGAUAAGGCACUUGUGGCCCAGGGUAACAAGAACUGUGGUUGGUUGGCAACAGCAGCUGAGUGGGGCUGGUCUUCUCUGAAUCAUGAAGGACAGGGAAUUAUUUUGCCUGGAGACAGGUGACUGGGUGAGGCUAGGGUGAUGAUUUCUUUUUCAGCUCUCUCAAGGCCUUCUGGCCCCUUAUUGUACAUUUCAGGCCCCAUAGAGAGUGCUGCAAGCCUCUAAUAGUAAUUCACAGGCACAAAC
rnacentral:lncRNA from 1 species